rnacentral:rRNA from 1 species
AUUGAACGCUGGCGGCAGGCUUAACACAUGCAAGUCGAGCGAGCGGCGGACGGGUGAGUAAUGUCUGGGAAACUGCCUGAUGGAGGGGGAUAACUACUGGAAACGGUAGCUAAUACCGCAUACCAUCGGAUGUGCCCAGAUGGGAUUAGCUAGUAGGUGGGGUAAUGGCUCACCUAGGCGACGAUCCCUAGCUGGUCUGAGAGGAUGACCAGCCAAACUGGAAGUGAGACACGGUCCAGACUCUGACGGGAGGCAGCAGGGGUGAAUAGUGAACAAUGGGCGCAAGCCUGAGGCAGCCAUGCCGCGUGUGUGAAGAAGGCCUUCGGGUUGUAAAGCACUUUCAGCGAGGAGGCGUUACCCGCAGAAGAAGCACCGGCUAACUCCGUGCCAGCAGCGGCGGUAAUAC